GUUGCUAAAGACAGCCCUGUGGAUCAUAGCAGUGAAGGUCGCUUGCAAAUUGUUUUCCUGGCUCUAAACUGAAAGAAUUUCUCUUUCAGGGCUUGCAAACUAAGGUCAGAGAACUCACUGGGCAAGAUGAAGGUUUCGCGGACGUCUCCCCUGGCAGAGAGAAAAGGACUAGUGAUUGUAAACGGACCUUGGUGAGGGCCUUUCUUAGUCCAGCAAGGGCUGAACUCAGAACAUCGUGUAGACGAGGGCAUUGGUUUCAACCUUGACUGAGCUUCUGUGACAUUUGUGGAACCACACUCAGACCUACUGCCUCAAAUUUUUUGAGUGGUGGCCUAGAUGGCAGUAUUGCAAGGAAAUUCCACAGAGGAUUCUGUAAAGUAAUGAAUUCAGUACUCAAAAACAGCUUUUAAAUUGAGUUAAAGAUUUUUGUUGCAAAAAUAAAGUAAAAUAAAAGGGAUUAUACA
rnacentral:lncRNA from 1 species